rnacentral:SRP_RNA from 1 species
ACUGGGCACGGUGGCGCGAGCCUGUAAUCCAGCUACUCCGGAGGCUGAGGCUGGCACAUUGCUUGAGCUCAGGAGUUCUGGGCUGCAGUGGGCUAUGCCGAUCGGGUGUCCGCACUAAGUUCGUUAUCAAUAUGGUGAUCCCCAGGGAGCCGAGGGCCACCAGGUUGCCUAAGGAGGGGUGAACCGGCCCAGGUUGGAGACGGAGCAGGUCAAAACUCCCGUGCGAUCAGUCUGAAGUUGAAUCCAAGGAGGAAAGAGUUGGUGCUUGUGUUGUUGGUGCUUGUCAGUU